rnacentral:misc_RNA from 1 species
UCUCCGUUGGUGAACCAGCGGAGGGAUCAUUACCGAGUUGUAACACUCACCAAACCCACUGCAAACGUACCUAUUUUGGCGACUCCGGCAGGCGGCCCCAGGGCGGGGCCUCAGCCUUUUCAGGCGCCUGCCGAAGCCGGCACAACUUUACUCUAAAAAUUACCUCUGAGUCCUAAGUCAAAAUAUAUCAAAAUUUUCAACUGUGGAUCUCUUGGUUCUGGCAUCGAUGAAGAACGAGC